ensembl:misc_RNA Y_RNA Y RNA
GGCUGGUCUGAGUGCAGUGGUGUUUACAACUAAUUGAUCACAACUAGUUACAGAUGUCUUUGUUUCUUCUUCACUCCCAGUGUUUCACUUGACUAGCCUUUA